GGGGAUGUGGCUCAAGUGAUAAAGCGCUCGCCUGGCAUGCGUGAGGCACUGGGUUCGAUCCUCAGCACCGCA
rnacentral:tRNA from 1 species